AUUGAACGCUGGCGGCAUGCCUUACACAUGCAAGUCGAACGGUAACAGGUCUUCGGAUGCUGACGAGUGGCGAACGGGUGAGUAAUGCAUCGGAACGUGCCCAGUAGUGGGGGAUAGCCCGGCGAAAGCCGGAUUAAUACCGCAUACGACCUGAGGGUGAAAGGGGGGGAUCGCAAGACCUCACGCUAUUGGAGCGGCCGAUGUCAGAUUAGCGAGUUGGUGGGGUAAAGGCCUACCAAGGCAACGAUCUGUAGUUGGUCUGAGAGGACGACCAGCCACACUGGGACUGAGACACGGCCCAGACUCCUACGGGAGGCAGCAGUGGGGAAUUUUGGACAAUGGGCGCAAGCCUGAUCCAGCAAUGCCGCGUGCAGGAAGAAGGCCUUCGGGUUGUAAACUGCUUUUGUCAGGGAAGAAAUCUUCUGGGUUAAUACCUCGGGAGGAUGACGGUACCUGAAGAAUAAGCACCGGCUAACUCCGUGCCAGCAGCCGCGGUAAUAC
rnacentral:rRNA from 1 species